CCUGUGACUAAAUAUAACUGAUGUAAUAUGUGUUAAUAUAAUGUACUAACGUUUGAAGAAAUAAAGAUUAUUAUUAUUAUUAUUAUUUAUUAUUAAUUAAGUUCAAACAGCAGGUAAUUGCUAUAAGUCGUUGAAGAGUUCCCUCGACUAUCUUUCGUCUCCAUCAUCAGACUGUAAUGGCACUUGUAACUCAUAUAGGUGCAAAGUUCUCAUCAAUAGAAACGAAUUAAGUUCAAACAGCAAGUAAUUGCUAUAAAUCGUUAAAGAGUUCCCUCGACUAUCUUUUGUCUCCAUCAUCAGACUGUAAUGGCACGUAUAACUCAUACAGGUGCAAAGUUCUCAUCAAUAGAAACGAAUUAAGUUCAAAAACCAGGUAAUUGCUAUAAAUUGUUGAGGAGUUCCCUCUACUAUCUUUCUUCUCCAUCAUCAGAUCGACUCCAG
rnacentral:misc_RNA from 1 species